rnacentral:piRNA from 1 species
UACGCUCUUUUCCUCAAAGACACAGCUGUA